ACUGGACAAAAUUAAAAUGCUAUUCUGUCAUUGUAAUAGUUCAUAUGGGCACUGUCAGGGGAGCAUUUUAAUUUUGUCAAGU
rnacentral:pre_miRNA from 1 species